rnacentral:rRNA from 2 species
AUUGUCAAGCUAUGAAGGGUACAUGGUGGAUGUCUAGGCGCUGAGAGAUGAUGAAGGACGUGGAAGACUGCGAAAAGCUUCGGGGAGUUGUCAAACAAACUGUGAUCCGGAGAUUUCCGAAUGGGGAAACCUGCCAUAGGUUUAUGCUGUGGUAUCGGUAUCUGAAUAUAUAGGAUAUCGAAGAUAACGGAGAGAAGUGAAACAUCUCAGUAACUCCAGGAAAAAAAAGAAAUGAUCGAUUUCCUUAGUAGCGGCGAGCGAAAGGGAAAAAGCCCAAACCGAUUGUGUGUCAAACCCUUGUGUGUUGCAUAAUCGGGGUCGUGGGAAUUACAUUAGACAGUACAAGGACUGUCUGGAAAGUUACAAACGUAGUUUUUAACCGAAUAGUGCAGGAAAGCCUAACCAUAGAAGGUGAUAGUCCUUUAGGUGAAAAAAAUUACGCUUUCUUUGUAAUUUCCCAAGUAACACCCGUCUCGUGAAAGCGGAUGUGAAUUAGGGGAGUCCACUCUCUAAGGCUAAAUACUACUCAGCGACCGAUAGCGCACAAGUAGCGCGAGCGAAAGAUGAAAAGCACCCCUGUUAGGGGAAUGAAAAAGAACCUGAAAUCGUGUACUUACAAGCGGUGGGAGCAUUAUGAUUUUAUUAUAAAAUUAUGUGUGACCGCGUGCCUUUUGCAUAAUGAACCGGCGACUUACUGUGCAUUGCGGGUUAAGUCUAUUGUUAGAUGGAGCCAAAGCGAAAGCGAGUGUGAAAUGCGCAAAUAUGUAGUGCAUAGUAGACCCGAAACCAGGUGAUCUACCCUUGGUCAGGAUGAAACGAAUGUAAAAGUUCGUGGAGGUCCGAACUCAUUUACGUUGAAAAGUGAUGGGAUGAACUGAGGGGAGGAGUAAAAGUCUAAUCAAACUUGGUGAUAGCUGGUUCUCCCCGAAAUAGCUUUAGGGCUAGCCUUGUGUAACUAUACAAUAGGGGUAGAGAUACUGAAUGAGUAUUGGGGUCCACCAGACUACCAAAUUCAAUCAAACUCCGAAUACUAUUGUCUGUACCACAAGAGUCAGACGGUGGGGGAUAAACUUCAUUGUCGAGAGGGAAACAACCCAGACCGACAGCUAAGGUCCCUAAAAUAGACUAAGUGAUAAAGGAAGUAAGAGUGCUAUGACAGUUAGGAUGUUGGCUUAGAAGCAGCAAUCAUUUAAAAAGUGCGUAAUAGCUUACUAAUCGAGCAUUCUUGCGCCGAAAAUAUUACGGGACUCAAGUCUAUUACCGAAGCUUCGGAUUUUUGCAUCUAUGCGUAGUUGCGAAAGUGGUAGGGGAGCGUUCUAUAUCAGGCUGAAGAGGGACUGAAAAGACCCUUGGACGAAAUAGAAGUGAUAAUGCCGGUAUAAGUAGCGAUAAUAUAAGUGAGAAUCUUAUUCGCCGCAAGCCUAAGGUUUCCUGGGGAAGGUAAAUCCGCCCAGGGUUAGCCGGAGCCUAAGUCGAGGCUGAAAGGCGUAGAUGAUGGACAACAGGUUAAUAAUCCUGUGCCACCGUAAUAGCGUUGAGCAUGGGGGGACAAAGAUGUAAAGGUUAGCAAAUCUAUUAGACACGGUUUGUUCAAGCCAAUGGUGUGCCUUAGGAAAAUCCGAGGCGGUAAGCACCAAAGGUGAGUACGUUGGCGUAAGCCUAAAAGUAACCGGAGCAUCUUUCAAGAAAAGCCUCGUUUGCGAGCUAUUAUGGUGUCCGUACUAAAACUGACACAGGUAGGCGAGGAGAGGAUCCUAAGGCGCUCGAGAGAACCCUCGUUAAGGAACUCGGCAAAAUUACUCCGUAACUUCGGGAGAAGGAGUGCCCCGAGAUUUCGGGGCCGCAGUGAAAAGACCCGGGCGACUGUUUACUAAAAACACAAGUCUCUGCUAAGAUUUAAAAUCAACGUAUAGAGACUGACGCGUGCUCGAUGCCAGAACGUUAAGGGGAUGGGUUAAUGUUCGAAAGAAUGUGAAGCUCAGAACCGAAGCGCUGGUGAAUGGCGGCUCUAACUAUGAGAGUCCUAAGGUAGCGAAGUUCCUUGUCAGAUAAUUACUGACGUGCAUGAAUCGCGUAACGACUUGGGUACUGUCUCAACGAGGGACUCGGCGAAAUUGUAGUCGUGGUGAAGAUGCCACGUACCCGCGGCAAGACGGAAAGACCCCGUGAACCUUUACUGUAGCCUAUUAUUGGGUUUUGGCACAAUAUGCGUAGGAUAGGUGGGAGACUAUGAGGUCUUGGUUCUGGCCAAGACAGAGUCGACGUUGAAAUACCACUCUUAUUAUGUUAAAAUUCUAACUAAAUUCCGUGAAUCCGGGUUUGGGACAGUUAUAGGUGGGCAGUUUGACUGGGGCGGUCUCCUCCCAAAGAGUAACGGAGGAGUCCAAAGGCUUCCUCAGUGCGCUUGGCAACCGCACGAAGAGUGUAAGGGCAGAAGGAAGCUUAACUGUGAGACUUAUAAGUCAAGCAGGUGUGAAAGCAGGGCCUAGUGAUCCGGUGGUUGUGUGUGGAAACGCCAUCGCUCAACAGAUAAAAGGUACUCCGGGGAUAACAGGCUUAUCGCCCCCGAGCGUCCAUAGCGGCGGGGCGGUUUGGCACCUCGAUGUCGGCUCAUCGCAUCCUGGGGCUGGAGAAGGUCCCAAGGGUUCUGGAGUUCACAGAUUAAAGCGGUACGCGAGCUGGGUUUAGACCGUCGUGAGACAGGUCGGUCCCUAUCUGUCGUGGGUGUACGAUAUUUGAAGAGAUCUGUCCUUAGUACGAGAGGACCGGGAUGGACGUACCUCUGGUGCACCAGUUGUCGUGCUAACGGCAUAGCUGGGUAGCUACGUACGGAAAGGAUAAAUGCUGAAAGCAUAUAAGCAUGAAGCCUACUCUAAAACUAUAUAUCGUUUUCCGUUUUUGGAAGAGAGACACCUUGAAGACUACAAGGUUGAUAGGCCAGAGGUGUAAGUGCUGUAAUGCAUUAAGCUGACUGGUACUAAUAAGUCGAAAAGCUUGACUUUUUUAUAUUA